UUGUAUUUUAAAAACAGCUUUCCUGUAAAUGAGUUACUAUGAAAUACUUUCAGCUCAGAUCAAACAUGCACUCUUUUUGACAAUAUUUGUAACCAUGUUUACUGUACAGCAUGUGAUUACAUGUGUGUUGUUUUUUAGCGCAAAGUGAGGAUUCGGAUUCACACAUCUUACUCCUAAGUAAAGGUAAAAAAAUAUGGGGGCAUCGCAGAGUGAACCUACAGAAGAGCAAAGGAAAGUAGAAGAACGGGAAAGAAGAAAGUGUCCUUGUAGCAGAGAGAGAGAACUGGACACAAGAGAGAGAAACCUGGACAUUAGAGAGAGAGAACUGGACACAAGAGAGAGAAACCUGGACAUUAGAGAGAGAGAACUGGACACAAGAAAGAGAGAACUGGACACAAGAGAGCAAGAACUGUUUGGAAGAAAAAGGUGUAACAGUAAAGAAGAGCCCCCCAACAUGUCUGGAGUCUCCAAACGAUUUUAAUUCAGAACUCUAGAAGGAAGUGAGUUGUCGGAUUUCCAGAAAGGCUGAGAACAACUGAUUAAUGGAUUCAUCAUCUUAUAUAAACUUGAAGAGUUUUAUGACGGCCCUGCAACCCUUAUAAUGGUUGACUGCUUUGUGUCGUGGAACGAUCUUCCCAUUUCCACAUGUACUGUUGGUAUCCUUUAAAGGGGAACGGAAAACUCUUUUCUAUGAGCACUUGUUUUAAUUUUUUUUUAUAAAAAAUAUAUAUAUAGAAUAAUAAUAAUAUGAAUAUACAUAUAGAU